CAUUAAUGAUGCUAUUGCCAUGCUAAUACUGAGAAAUCAUAUAUUUGGAUUUCGCUGAGUUGAACUCUUAAAAUUACUGAAUUCUCUAUAUGA
rfam:Lasius niger Lnig_2.1_7537, whole genome shotgun sequence.